rnacentral:rRNA from 1 species
UACGUAGGGGGCAAGCGUUGUCCGGAUUCAUUGGGCGUAAAGAGCGUGUAGGCGGCCAGGUAGGUCGGUUGUGAAAACUGGAGGCUCAACCUUCAGAGGUCGACCGAAACCAUCUGGCUAGAGUCCGGGAGAGGAGAGUGGAAUUCCUGGUGUAGCGGUGAAAUGCGCAGAUAUCAGGAGGAACGCCAGAAACGAAGGUGGCUACCUGGCCCUGACCUGACACUGAGGUGCGAAAGCGUGGGGAGCGAACCGG